UGGGGAAUAUUGGACAAUGGGCGCAAGCCUGAUCCAGCCAUGCCGCGUGUGUGAAGAAGGCCUUCGGGUUGUAAAGCACUUUCAGCGAGGAGGAAGGGGUGAGUGUUAAUAGUACUCAUCUUUGACGUUACUCGCAGAAGAAGCACCGGCUAACUCUGUGCCAGCAGCCGCGGUAAUACAGAGGGUGCAAGCGUUAAUCGGAAUUACUGGGCGUAAAGCGCACGUAGGCGGUUUCUUAAGUCAGAUGUGAAAGCCCCGGGCUCAACCUGGGAAUUGCAUUUGAAACUGGGAAACUAGAGUGUGUGAGAGGGGGGUAGAAUUCCAAGUGUAGCGGUGAAAUGCGUAGAGAU
rnacentral:rRNA from 1 species